rnacentral:rRNA from 1 species
GAUGAACGCUAGCGGCAGGCUUAAUACAUGCAAGUCGUGGGGCAGCAGGACUGUAGCAAUACAGUUGCUGGCGACCGGCAAACGGGUGCGGAACACGUACGCAACUUACCCUGAACUGGGGGAUAGCCCGGGGAAACCCGGAUUAAUACCCCGUAAUAUAAUGGAGUGGCAUCACUUUAUUAUUAAAGCUCCGGCGGUUCGGGAUGGGCGUGCGGCUGAUUAGGUAGUUGGUUGAGGUAACGGCUCACCAAGCCUACGAUCAGUAACUGGUGUGAGAGCACGACAAGUCACACGGGCACUGGGACACGGGCCCGACUACUACGAGAGGCAGCAGUAAGGAAUAUUGGGCAAUGGAGGCAACUCUGACCCAGCCAUGCCGCGUGGAGGAUGAAGGCCCUCUGGGUUGUAAACUUCUUUUAUAGGGGAAGAAACCUGUGUAUUCUUACGCAGUUGACGGUACCCUAGGAAUAAGCACCGGCUAACUCCGUG